rnacentral:rRNA from 1 species
UACGUAGGUGGCAAGCGUUGUCCGGAAUUAUUGGGCGUAAAGCGCGCGCAGGCGGUCCUUUAAGUCUGAUGUGAAAGCCCACGGCUCAACCGUGGAGGGUCAUUGGAAACUGGGGGACUUGAGUGCAGGAGAGAAGAGUGGAAUUCCACGUGUAGCGGUGAAAUGCGCAGAUAUCAGGAGGAACACCAAUGGCGAAGGCAGCUCGCUGGGACGGUACUGACGCUGAGGCGACGAAGCGUGGGGAGCAAACAGG